GACGAACGCUGGCGGCGUGCUUAACACAUGCAAGUCGAACGAUGAAGCCUAGCUUGCUAGGUGGAUUAGUGGCGAACGGGUGAGUAAUACGUGAGUAACCUACCUUUAACUCUGGGAUAAGCCUGGGAAACUGGGUCUAAUACCGGAUACGACCGAUCUCCGCAUGGGGUGUUGGUGGAAAGCGUUAUGUAGUGGUUAUAGAUGGGCUCACGGCCUAUCAGCUUGUUGGUGAGGUAACGGCUCACCAAGGCGACGACGGGUAGCCGGCCUGAGAGGGUGACCGGCCACACUGGGACUGAGACACGGCCCAGACUCCUACGGGAGGCAGCAGUGGGGAAUAUUGCACAAUGGGCGCAAGCCUGAUGCAGCGACGCCGCGUGAGGGAUGACGGCCUUCGGGUUGUAAACCUCUGUUAGCAGGGAAGAAGAGAAAUUGACGGUACCUGCAGAGAAAGCGCCGGCUAACUACGUGCCAGCAGCCGCGGUAAUACGUAGGGCGCGAGCGUUGUCCGGAAUUAUUGGGCGUAAAGAGCUUGUAGGCGGUUUGUCGCGUCUGCUGUGAAAGGCCGGGGCUUAACCCCGUGUAUUGCAGUGGGUACGGGCAGACUAGAGUGCAGUAGGGGAGACUGGAAUUCCUGGUGUAGCGGUGGAAUGCGCUGAUAUCAGGAGGAACACCAAUGGCGGAGGCGGGUCUCUGGGCUGUAACUGACGCUGAGAAGCGAAAGCAUGGGGAGCGAACAGGUUAAUACACUGGUAUUCCAUGGGGCGAAUCCACAUGGAUAUUAGCUUAUC
rnacentral:rRNA from 1 species